CAGAGGGGCAAGCGUUGUUCGGAAUUACUGGGCGUAAAGGGCGCGUAGGCGGCCUUCUAAGUCGAACGUGAAAUCCCCGGGCUCAACCCGGGAACUGCGUCCGAUACUGGAAGGCUUGAAUCCGGGAGAGGGAUGCGGAAUUCCAGGUGUAGCGGUGAAAUGCGUAGAUAUCUGGAGGAACACCGGUGGCGAAGGCGGCAUCCUGGACCGGUAUUGACGCUGAGGCGCGAAAGCCAGGGGAGCAAACGGGAUUAGAUACCCCGGUAGUCCUGGCCCUAAACGAUGAAUGCUUGGUGUGGCGGGUAUCGAUCCCUGCCGUGCCGAAGCUAACGCAUUAAGCAUUCCGCCUGGGGAGUACGGUCGCAAGGCUG
rnacentral:rRNA from 1 species